UGCACAUUUUUCACAGAAAGAAGAAAGACAUCAGGGCUGGCUUUCCCUUGGCUGUAAAACAAGAAUGAAGCAUUUUACCUUGUUUUUCACCCAAUACAGCGGACAGGAGGAUUGGCCUUUCCAGAAAAGAAAAAAAACCCUGCUAGAUCACUUAAAGGCCAUCUGGGAAACUUGUUACGGGCAGAUAGCUGGUGACUGUCCUGGGCCCCCAGAGGCCAGCAGGGCACCAUUGUCUGCAUGGUACCAUAAAGGGACCUCCACAGCUGGUGUCCAGGGCUCUGAAACUAACAGCUAAUUUCUUCCUUUUUUUUUCCAUACGUCGGGUUGAUUUGCGACAUCAUCUGGUGGUUUUGUUUUUGUAAGAAAUUCCUUCGCAAAUAGAAACUAUAAAAGAACUCAACAUGGCCACAGCAGAAGGGUAGGCGGUAGCGAGUGAUGGUGUGGAUGCUGAGAGACUGGACCCAAAGUGAAGUAGCACUCUCCUGGCUCAUAACACCCUUUUGGGAGACGCCCAUCAGAAUACCCGAGGUUGGGAAAGCUCAGAGAAACCAGGUCUUGCUACUCAAAACAGUUCAGACUUUCUGCAACCAGAUCAAGACUACGAGGCCUCAGCCAUGCCCACGGUGAUACCCAGCCGAUAUCUCCCCAGCUGGUCUAAGCUCCUGUCCUCCCAGGAAGGAGGAAGCCAUCUUUAAGACCAGCUUUUCACAUUUCUCCAACAUUCCCUGCAGGAUCUGCACUGAUCUUUACUACAAAACCCUCAGCUCUUUUUUAAACUUUACCUAUCUUCUCUGCUCCCUAUUAUUAGUGCUUACUUCCCUAAUUAUUCACAAAGAACAUUUUACAAUUCAUGUGUGUUGUAACCCACACCUCUUUCUUUGUUCUUAUGUGAGAGCAAAUCUACCAUUCUAGAGGUGGGCAUAGAAGAAAAGAGCUUUAGUAUUUAAAAAUGAAAAACAAAGAAAUGCACAGAACAGCUCUUAUUUUAAUUAACUUCUUAAUAUAGGACUUGCUACUUCAAACCAGUUGUCAUUAAAUCUGUUCAGCAGAUGUCAACAACACAUUGUAACAUAAGCAGUCUAUGUUGGCUAGUUUUAUAACUUGACACAAACUAGAGUCAUCUGAAGUAAGGGAACCUAAAUUAGGAAAAUGAGUCCAUAAGAUCCACUGUCACAAAUUUUCUUAAUUAGUGAUUGAUAGGGGAGGGCCCAGUCCAUUGUGAGUGAUGCCAUCCCUGGGUUGGUGGUCCUGGGUUCUAUAAGAAAGCAGAUUGAGCAAACAAAGAGAAAUAACCCAGCAACAGCAUCUAUCCAUGGCCGCUGCAUCAGUUUUCUGCCUCCAGGUUCUGUUUGAGUUUGAGUUUCUGUCCUGGCUUCCUUCAGUCAUGUACUACAAUUUGGAAGUGUAAGGCAAAUAAACCCUUUCAUCCCCAACUUGCUUUUGAUUAUGGUGUUUCACCACAGCAAUAACAACUCUGACAAGGACAGAAAUUGGUACCAGGAGCCGGGUACUGCUGUAACAGACCUGAUCAUGUUGGUUUGGGAAGGAUUGUGGAAAGACUUUGGAACUUAAGUUUAGAAAAACCAUUGACUGUUCAAAAGUUGGGGAGCUGUUCUAUGGGAGAUCGGGAGAUAAGAGCAUUGGGAGACAUGAAGAUGAUGAAGGCCUGGGUUGUGAAGUUGCAAAGGGAAGUUUGAAAGUUCUGAAAGACUCUACCAGGGGUGUGGAAUGGUUGUUAAGAUCCUGUGGUUGUGGUUAGCUGGGGCUGAAGAAUCACCUGUGAUAAACAAGAGAGCAAAACCCCUAAAGUUAAAUCUUUGCUUUACUAGGACACUUUGACGUUGGUUAGCUGGAGCUGAGAAAUUAGUGGUGGCCAAGAAGAGAUCGGAGUCACUGAGGUGAAGUCUUCUGGGAGGCUAUUUCAUAAGCAUCAGCACAGAGAACCCACGUUCAAGAGGUGGCCAAGGCUGUACCUUGCGCUGCCACCUGAACUUGGCUGUGUGAGAGUGACCCAGGUGGUGCUGGUUCUGAAGGCAUGAUGGGAUCGUGGAGGGCUGCUGAGGCUCGGCCCUGUGAGGGGCCAGGAGAGGCCACUGGUGAAGGCGCAGCCUCAGUAGCAGAUGAAGCCUCAAAAUUGAAGGGGUCAUGGAGAGAAAUUGAGUCUUGGCACCAUGAAGAGAGCGCAGGAGAAGCUAUUGGUGAAAAUGAUGCCGGUAUCAUGGAAGGACAACCCCAAAUAGCGACAGUGGUGGAAUGGAGCCAGCUGGAGCCAAGAGUGGGCAACUGAAGAAAACCCUCCCUGGGAAAGUACCAAGAUCUCCAAGAGCAGCUAGCUGUGUGGUUUAAAAUCUCCUUCGCACUCACUUCAGCGUGUUACAAGCAUUCACAACAUACUUCGUUGACUAGAUAACUGACCUGAAUAUGCAAGGAGGAUCACAAAGAAAAGGAGAGGAGAGAGAAAUACAGGAGGAUGGGUCCUAGGACCAGAAUGAUCGUGCUGAUUGUGUUGACCGUGGGACGAAGUUCUGCAAACUGGACUCUGGGAUUCCAGGUUCUAAUGCUCCCACGAAUGCAAGGGCACUGGAGAACACCAAGUGAAAUUCUACAGCAAAAUCAUCAGCACUUGAUUCUCUUUGUGAUUCCAUUGGUUCUACACUCUGAUUCACAAUGUCAACCUAGUUAUUGCUGCACCGCCUUCCACAGGCGGCAGCAGCAGCAGCACUGUUUUGGAGAUGAAUUACUUAUUUGGUCGCCCUGAUUGUAUGGUGAUUACCGAAACUGUCUUAACAGUUCCCUCUGAGCAAAGGUCAAGAUGGUUCUCUCUUGUGUCCAUAAAGAUGAUUAUGGAGACAGGUCAAAGGUCAUUUCUAAAAAGAGGGCAACGAUUCUACCGGGAGUCUUCUCAUGGCCCUUUUGCCAAGUUUCUGGGUUGGCUAAUUACUUUUGGUUUAAAAAAGACUUUUUUUGAUAGUUGCACCUCUGUUUUAUUGAUGAAUUACAUAGGAGGGCUAAGGCAGUUUACACACUACACACCCAGCACUCUCUAUGAGAGAGAGAGAGAGAGAGAG